rnacentral:rRNA from 1 species
UACGAAGGGGGCUAGCGUUGCUCGGAAUGACUGGGCGUAAAGGGCGCGUAGGCGGUACUUCAAGUCAGGCGUGAAAGCCCCGGGCUCAACCUGGGAACCGCGCUUGAGACUGGAGAACUAGAGUUCGGGAGAGGAUGGUGGAAUUCCCAGUGUAGAGGUGAAAUUCGUAGAUAUUGGGAAGAACACCGAUGGCGAAGGCAGCCAUCUGGACCGACACUGACGCUGAGGCGCGAAAGCGUGGGGAGCAAACAGG